UACGUAGGUGGCAAGCGUUGUCCGGAUUUACUGGGCGUAAAGAGCGCGCAGGCGGUCGUUCAAGUCGCGUGUGAAAGCCCCCGGCUCAACUGGGGAGGGUCACGCGAUACUGAUCGACUCGAAAGCAGGAGAGGGAAGUGGAAUUCCCGGUGUAGUGGUGAAAUGCGUAGAUAUCGGGAGGAACACCAGUGGCGAAGGCGGGUCUCUGGACAGUUCCUGACGCUGAGGCACGAAGGUCAGGGGAGCAAACGGG
rnacentral:rRNA from 1 species